GCUCAAGUUGUUUAGGUGACUAUAGUGUUCCUUUAAAGGAACACUCCGAAAGUUAACAACAUCAUAAAAAUGAAGUUGUCAUGGUUCCAGAAGGUCUCCCUUGCUAGUUAAACCACUAUAGGGGCUAAAACGUUCAGUCGCUGCUUGGUGGACACGCUUUAUGAAUGGGGAGUCACAGAUUGGGUGAGAAACUUUCCUUUUUGAAGUCAGUUUUAUGAAUGGGAAGUCACUGAAUGGCUGAGCGCGUCUGGCUCUUCAAGAGCCUUUUUUUUUUUAGUUCUUUAUUUAUUCCAAGACGGGACAUCUGGUACACUGCAUAUAAAUCAACAUCAAGACAAGUAUACAUAAGCUUAUCUUCAGUGCUUUUCAACUUUGUACAUUAUCCUCAGAAAUACACAUUCAAGCUCUUAUAUACAGCUGAAUUUACAUUUGCGAUGUACUGUCUUAUCUGACUUUUCCUUUAUAGCGAUGUACCUCUGCAAGUCUUUCAAGACAACCCGCUUGGUCUUUUAUAAUGAAUAAAACAUGUAACAACCGUAUCGUUACUUGCAUAGGAAGCAAGUAGGAGUGACAUAUACGUCAAGCUUGCCAGUGUAUCUCCAUCAUCAUCUUUCUAUAUACCUGUUGUGCAAGAGCCUUCUUCUUUAAAGAUUUGGAGCACGCGUCAGGACAAAAAGGCAGGGAGAAUCAGCAUUCAAACACAGACUUUGGGUUUAAACCAUUCGAUAAUGGCUUAACCCUUAAAGAUGAGCCUGUACCAG